rnacentral:rRNA from 1 species
GGGUGAGUAAUACUUAGGAAUCUGCCUAUUAAUGGGGGACAACAUCUCGAAAGGGAUGCUAAUACCGCAUACGCCCUACGGGGGAAAGCAGGGGAUCACUUGUGACCUUGCGUUAAUAGAUGAGCCUAAGUCGGAUUAGCUAGUUGGUGGGGUAAAGGCCUACCAAGGCGACGAUCUGUAGCGGGUCUGAGAGGAUGAUCCGCCACACUGGGACUGAGACACGGCCCAGACUCCUACGGGAGGCAGCAGUGGGGAAUAUUGGACAAUGGGGGGAACCCUGAUCCAGCCAUGCCGCGUGUGUGAAGAAGGCCUUAUGGUUGUAAAGCACUUUAAGCGAGGAGGAGGCUCUCUUGGUUAAUACCCAAGAAGAGUGGACGUUACUCGCAGAAUAAGCACCGGCUAACUCUGUGCCAGCAGCCGCGGUAAUACAGAGGGUGCGAGCGUUAAUCGGAUUUACUGGGCGUAAAGCGUGCGUAGGCGGCUUUUUAAGUCGGAUGUGAAAUCCCCGAGCUUAACUUGGGAAUUGCAUUCGAUACUGGGAAGCUAGAGUAUGGGAGAGGAUGGUAGAAUUCCAGGUGUAGCGGUGAAAUGCGUAGAGAUCUGGAGGAAUACCGAUGGCGAAGGCAGCCAUCUGGCCUAAUACUGACGCUGAGGUACGAAAGCAUGGGGAGCAAACAGGAUUAGAUACCCUGGUAGUCCAUGCCGUAAACGAUGUCUACUAGCCGUUGGGGCCUUUGAGGCUUUAGUGGC